CUUCAGCGGCUAGUUCAUCGUUUCACAUCGCCUAAAUUUCGCUCGAUAUUGUCUAAACUAAGACUCUCCACAUCGUCUAAACCUCAACUUUGUUCGACAUUGUCUAAACAAAACUGUGAAGUUUAGACCAUUUGCUGAAAACUGUGAGAUUUGGAGAGGGAUUCUUGUGUAUAUUGAAUUUUAGACAAUCAAAAUAUACACGGGGAAUCCUCUUGCGAGUGGAAUGCGGAGGCGCAGCGAUGCGAGAGAGAAAAGCUGUCUCGCACGUAUGCUGCUGCUGCUGCUGGCCAGGAAGGGGAGGAAGUUCAGACCCACCGGGACUGGAAGCAUACUUGAUGCGGUGCCGCCAGGGCCGAUGCGACCGCGGGACGGCGACGGUCUUCCGGCGGACAGCGGUGCCGCCAAAACGGCUACGAGGCGCUGCGGCCCCGUCCUCUACGACGGCGGCGAGCGAGCCUGAUACCGGAGCCGACCGACGAGAGCGGUCGCGGCGGGGCCGUCCACCGGCGGCUGCAACGGGCGACCGGUUUUAUUCCGAGCUACGGCGCUGAUCCGUAUGUGGUCCUUACUCACUCCGACGGAAGCCAGGGAGCGUUUGGUUACUGAAUCUGUCCGAUGGGAGAUGGUAGCGCGGGAUAUCUUCAACCGGUUGGGAUGGUGGUCAUGUAAUAGGAUAGGCGAUUAGUUCUCCUAUCUUUUGUUUGCCAGCCGGUGGUGGCUCCAUGGCUUUUUUAUCUUUGGCGUUGAGGCUCUCUGUGAGCUAGCCUUUAUUUUGUUUCCAGACUUUAAGACCUUGUUGAACCUAUUUUAUUUAUAAUUGUGGCCGUAUGCAUCAUUCUGAUGCAGAGGCUGGGGAGUCCCUCUUUUCAAAAAAAAAAACUGGUCAAACAAAAUCUCCUAGAAUAUAAGGCCUUUUCACAUAGUUGACAGGAAGAGGUACAGAAAUUUUGAACUGACCAGUUCCACAUGAACAAUGAUGAUCCAUCAAAGAGGCACGUCGGUUUAACUGCAAGUAGUUACAUAUGCAUCCUACUUGGAGAACGUACACCUCAAAAUUUGACAAACCAUUGAGAUUUUAUGGAAGGAGAAGAUGGUAUACCAUAUUCAUUUGCAAAUCGUAGGCAAA